UACGGGGGGGGUAAGCGUUGUUCGGAAUUACUGGGCGUAAAGGGCUCGUAGGCGGCCAACUAAGUCGGACGUGAAAUCCCUCAGCUUAACUGGGGAACUGCGUCCGAUACUGGAUGGCUUGGAUUUGGGAGAGGGAUGCGGAAUUCCAGGUGUAGCGGUGAAAUGCGUAGAUAUCUGGAGGAACACCGGUGGCGAAGGCGGCAUCCUGGACCAAUAUUGACGCUGAGGAGCGAAAGCUGAGGGAGCAAACGGG
rnacentral:rRNA from 1 species